AUUCCAAUCGAACGCGGAGAUAGCUGGUUCUCCCCGAAAUAGCUUUAGGGCUAGCCUGAGGUAGUAAGUAUAGGCGGUAGAGCACUGAUCGGGCUAGGGGCCGUAAAGGUUACCGAACCCUGUCAAACUCCGAAUGGAUAUACUGUAGAGCCUUGGAGUCAGACUACGAGUGAUAAGAUCCGUGGUCAAAAGGGAAACAGCCCAGACCACCAGCUAAGGUCCCCAAUGUCGUACUAAGUGGAAAAGGAUGUGGGGUUUCAUAAACAACCAGGAUGUUGGCUCAGAAGCAGCCACCAUUUAAAGAGUGCGUAAUAGCUCACUGGUCGAGAGACCCUGCGCCGAAGAUUCCCGGGGCUAAAGUACGAAACCGAAGCUGUGGCUGUAUACGUAAAGUAUACGGGGUAGGGGAGCGUUCCCAUAGGGUAGAAGUCGAACUGGAAGGUUCGGUGGACUUGUGGGAAGUGAGAAUGUUGGUAUGAGUAGCGAAAAGAAAGGUGAGAAUCCUUUCCACCGAAAGCAUAAGGAUUCCUGAGCAACGAUCGUCGUCUCAGGGUAAGUCGGGACCUAAUCCGAGGCAGAGAGCGUAGGAGAUGGACAACUGGUUGAUAUUCCAGUACCGGUAGUAAUUGUUUGAGCAAUGGAGUGACACAGAAGGGCAGGCAAGCAUGCGAAUGGAAGAGCAUGUGUAAGCGUGUAGGGUGGUGCAUAGGCAAAUCCGUGCACUGAAAGCCUGAGGCGUGAUGCGGAGUGAGCAGAGAUGCGAGCGAAGUUGUUGACCCCACACUGUCGAGAAAAGCUUCUAGUGAGAGAGCUACCGCCCGUACCGUAAACCGACACAGGUAUGCGGGGAGAGAAUCCUAAGGUGCGCGGGAGAACCCUCGUUAAGGAACUCGGCAAAAUGUACCCGUAACUUCGGGAUAAGGGUAGCCACUGUUGUGAAGUCCCAUGCGGAUGGAGCAUAGAGUGGUCGCAGAGAAGAGGCCCAAGCGACUGUUUACCAUAAACACAGGUGCCUGCUAAAGCGAAAGCUGACGUAUAGGUGCUGACACCUGCCCAGUGCCGGAAGGUUAAGGAAGGAUGUUCGGAUUAGUCCAAAGCAUUCGACUGAAGCCCCGGUGAACGGCGGCCGUAACUAUAACGGUCCUAAGGUAGCGAAAUUCCUUGUCGGGUAAGUUCCGACCCGCACGAAAGGUGUAACGAUUUGGGCACUGUCUCAACGAGGGACCCGGUGAAAUUGAAAUACCUGUGAAGAUGCAGGUUACCCGCGACUGGACAGAAAGACCCCAUGGAGCUUUACUGUAACCUGACAUUGGGUUUUGAUACAUUACGUACAGGAUAGGUGGGAGGCAUGGAAAGCUGGACGCUAGUCUGGCUGGAGCCGACGUUGGGAUACCACCCUUGAUGUAUUGAAAUUCUAACCGCGAGAGUAACGAAAUCCGGGACAGUGUCAGGCGGGCAGUUUGACUGGGGCGGUCGCCUCCGAAAGAGUAACGGAGGCGCCCAAAGGUUCCCUCAGCGCGGCCGGAAAUCGCGCGAAGAGUGUAAAGGCAGAAGGGAGCUUGACUGCGAGUCAAACACGACGAGCAGGUACGAAAGUAGGGCUUAGUGAUCCGGUGGUACCGAGUGGAAGGGCCAUCGCUCAACGGAUAAAAGCUACCCUGGGGAUAACAGGCUAAUCUCUCCCAAGAGUCCAUAUCGACGGGGAGGUUUGGCACCUCGAUGUCGGCUCAUCACAUCCUGGGGCUGAAGUCGGUCCCAAGGGUUGGGCUGUUCGCCCAUUAAAGUGGUACGUGAGCUGGGUUCAGAACGUCGUGAGACAGUUCGGUCCCUAUCCAUCGCGGGCGCAAGAGAUUUGAAGGGGGCUGCUCCUAGUACGAGAGGACCGGAGUGGACGAACCGCUGGUGUACCAAUUAUCCCGCCAGGGGUACAGUUGGGUAGCUACGUUCGGAAAGGAUAAACGCUGAAAGCAUCUAAGCGUGAAACCAGCCUUAAGAUGAGAUCUCUCAUAGAGCAAUCUAGU
rnacentral:rRNA from 1 species